GUAGGGAAUAUUGGGCAAUGGUCGGAAGACUGACCCAGCCAUACCGCGUGCAGGAAGACGGCCCUCUGGGUUGUAAACUGCUUUUAUCUGGGAAGAAAAAGGCCAUGCGUGGCAAAUUGCCGGUACCAGAUGAAUAAGCACCGGCUAACUCCGUGCCAGCAGCCGCGGUAAUACGGAGGGUGCAAGCGUUGUCCGGAUUUAUUGGGCUUAAAGGGUGCGUAGGCGGCUGAUUAAGUCAGCGGUGAAAGACUCCGGCUUAACCGGAGCAGUGCCGUUGAUACUGGUUAGCUUGAGUGUUGGAGGGGUACAUGGAAUUGAUGGUGUAGCGGUGAAAUGCAUAGAUACCAUCAGGAACACCGAUAGCGAAGGCAUUGUACUGGCCAACAACUGACGCUGAUGCACGAAAGUGUGGGGAUCGAACAGGAUUAGAAACCCCGGUAGUCC
rnacentral:rRNA from 1 species